rnacentral:rRNA from 1 species
GACGAACGCUGGCGGCGUGCCUAAUACAUGCAAGUUGAGCGAUGAAGCUUGGUGCUUGCACCAAUUUGAAGAGCAGCGAACGGGUGAGUAACGCGUGGGGAAUCUGCCUUUGAGCGGGGGACAACAUUUGGAAACGAAUGCUAAUACCGCAUAACAACUUUAAACAUAAGUUUUAAGUUUGAAAGAUGCAAUUGCAUCACUCAAAGAUGAUCCCGCGUUGUAUUAGCUAGUUGGUGAGGUAAAGGCUGACCAAGGCGAUGAUACAUAGCCGACCUGAUAGGCAUAUCGGCCACAUUUGGACUUAGACACGGCCCAAACAGCUACGGGAGGCAGCAGUAGGGAAGCUUAGGCAAUGGACGAAAGUCUGAACGAGCCACGCCGCGUGUGUGAAGAAGGUUAUCGGAUCGUAAAACUCUGUUGGUAGAGAAGAACGUUGGUGAGAGUGGAAAGCUAAUCAAGUGACGGUAACUACCCAGAAAGAAACGGCUAACUACGUG